GAAGAGGACUUUGAAUCAAGUUUCCUUAGAGCCUCCCACCUUGUCCAGGUUUCUGUGCCUUGGAGUUGGCUUCUACACAAUUCUCUUUUAUCUUUUCUGUCUGUUUUUUAAAUUUUUCAGUUCUACUCCUUGUUGGCUCUGAACUCUGGGCAAGCAAGAGUCUCACUUCUCUAAGCCACCAUACAACCAAUACUUAUCAAGCUUGUAUCUGUCAAGCACUUUGCAUAGACAUAGUGGAUGGCACCAAGUCAUAAAUGGAAGGCAGGGCCAAGGGAAGAGAGUGGAGGAGGGAGCAGUUUGGUGGUAGGAAAGGCAGAGCUCUCGGAGAGGAGGUUCAGUCAGAGAACGAACGAAGAAAGAGGGCUGUGUCUGAGGAAGGAAUGGCAGCUGCAGUCUUCAGGGUGACAGCAAGCCUGGCUUGUCCCAGGAAAUGAAGAGACAGCGUGGGCAGAGCAGAUACGGGACCAUGUUCUAUUGGUCCGUGUGGGUCUUCAGAGUACACUGAAGGACUGGGAAGAACGGAAGAGUUUUAAAUCGAUUCAUUUAUAUUCAGUGUGUGCGGCCUAUGAGCCAGUGUCUGAGGAGGGCAAAAGAAGGUACAGGAUCCCAGGGAGCUGGAGUUACAGGUGGUUGUGAACCACCCAACAUGGGUGCAGGGAAAUUAACUCAGCUCUUCUGGAAGAGCCACAAGUGCUAGUAAACACUGAGCCACUCCAGCUCCACACAACAGGAGCGUUUUAGCAGAGGAAUUGCACAGAGCUUUUGUGAAGCUGGGUACAGUGACAGAGCGGCAUUUUCCCCCUCCAGGUCGUUCUUUGGAGGUGACCCUUCUGCCCUGCUGUAAAUGGUUCCUCAUCUUUGCCAUUCCUAUUGCUCAGGGUGAUGCAGCCGAAGGAAAGCCUCGUUAAGGGGAAACUGGUCAAGAAGAUGAAAUCUCUGACCUUGACCUUGGUGGAGAUCUAAACAUAUAAACCCAUUGCAGUCCCUACAUGCCGCCAUGUGGUUCUGCUGGCUCUGCCCACCUUUCUGAGUCUUGGCUCAGAAAGAUGUAACUUUUUCUUUCUCGGGGCCAGAAGCUAAGUGUGCUUUUCCUUGUACUUUGGGCUUCUUCGUCUUUCUCCAAAGGCUUCUUCUACUUCAUGAGGGAACUGGUCUGCCACGUGGCUGGCUGUUUGUUUGUUUGUUGAUUUUGUCCUUCUCCAUUCCCUCCUGUAGCUGGGAACCCUGACUGUGUAAAGGGGAAUAUCUGGGACAAACGGUGCAGGAUGGGGCCGUGCUGGUGGCAGGAAGUCCUGCAUGAAGUCCAACUCUAAGGAACCUGUGAAGCCCCAGAGGAAAUAGUACGGAGUCCAGACUGACCCCUAACAGUGGCAAAACUGGGGAUCGGAGCUUUCUAGAUAAGAACACAAGCACUAUGGAAAGUCAAUGGGAAGAAUAUGAUGUUGGAUUUUAGUAGCCGAAGGACAGUGAUCAUGCAAGGACUGGAAGUCAUUCAGUGCAACGGCCAUGAGGCACAGAUCCGAACCACAGCGAGAUCCCUCUCCCAAUAUUCUGCUCAGCAAGAGCAGACAAGUCAGAG